AGGACGAACGCUGGCGGCGCGCCUAACACAUGCAAGUCGAACGGAGAUGGGAAAGCUUGCUUUUCCAUUUAGUGGCGGACGGGUGAGUAACACGUGAGCAACCUGCCUUUCAGAGGGGGAUAACGUUUGGAAACGAACGCUAAUACCGCAUAACAUAUUCUUGUGGCAUCACAGGGAUAUCAAAGGAGCAAUCCGCUGAGAGAUGGGCUCGCGGCCGAUUAGAUAGUUGGCGGGUAAGGGCCCACCAAGUCGACGAUCGGUAGCCGGACUGAGAGGUUGAACGGCCACAUUGGGACUGAGACACGGCCCAGACUCCUACGGGAGGCAGCAGUGGGGAAUAUUAGGCAAUGGGGGGAAAAACCCCCUGACCUAGCGACGCCGCGUGAGGGAAGACGGUCUUCGGAUUGUAAACCUCUGUCUUCAGGGACGAAAAAGAUGACGGUACCUGAAGAGGAAGCCACGGCUAACUACGUGCCAGCAGCCGC
rnacentral:rRNA from 1 species